UACGUAGGCAGCAAGCGUUGUUCGGAGUUACUGGGCGUAAAGAGCUCGUAGGUGGUUUGUCGCGUUGUUCGUGAAAACUCACAGCUCAACUGUGGGCGUGCGGGCGAUACGGGGCAGACUUGAGUACUGCAGGGGAGACUGGAAUUCCUGGUGUAGCGGUGGAAUGCGCAGAUAUCAGGAGGAACACCGGUGGCGAAGGCGGGUCUCUGGGCAGUAACUGACGCUGAGGAGCGAAAGCGUGGGGAGCGAACAGG
rnacentral:rRNA from 1 species